GUACUGGCAGCAGCCAGCCUCUGCUGUGCCCACAUGACCCACAACUCUGGCAGCGGACCCGGCACUUCCAACAUUAUUAAAUAAUAAGAAAGCGGCUCCUACUCCAUGCCCAAACCUCCCUACAGACCAAUGGACACCUUCUAAGAGUUUGGCGAGUCGGUGACUGAGGCUCCCGUCCAUUCCAAGAAUGGAUUCCUGGAAGUGGAAUUUCACUGAUACUACCAACCUUUCCUCUAAAACAGUUUUCCCAAGUUCAGUCUACUAUUUAGCCUACUGAAUGAAUCUUAUAUUUAUGGUACGUAAUUUUCAUUUUUAUCAUUUCCAUUUGGUUGUUUCUUAUUGUACCCUUACCUCUGCUCAAACUCCCCAACCAUUAAUGCAUGCUUCUCACUUUUUCCAUUAUAUUUUUUAACAUAUUUGUCAUAGCUUUUUUUAAUCCUUGUCUGCUAAGUCCAAAAUCUAGGCCGUCUGUGAGUCUGCUUCUAUUGCUUAUUUUUUAUUUUCGUUAGGGAUCACAUUUUUCCUU
rnacentral:lncRNA from 1 species